GCCAGGCGUGGUGACUCACGCCUGUAAUCCCAGUACUGUGGGAGGCUGAGGUGGGUGGAUCACCUGUGGUCAGGAGUUCGAGACCAGCCUGGCCAACAUGGUGAAACCCUGUCUCUA
rnacentral:ncRNA from 5 species